rnacentral:sRNA from 1 species
GAGAACUCAGACGGCUGCUACGAGCACUUUGCUGAGCUUGACAUCCCACAGAGCGUCCAGCAGAACGGCUCCAUCUACAUCCACGUUUACUUCACCAAGAGUGGCUUCCACCCAGACCCCCGGCAGAAGGCCCUGUAUCGCCGGCUUGCCACAGUCCAUAUGUCCCGGAUGAUCAACAAAUACAAGCGCAGACGAUUUCAGAAAACCAAGAACCUGCUGACAGGAGAGACAGAAGCAGACCCAGAAAUGAUCAAGAGGGCUGAGGACUAUGGGCCCGUGGAGGUGAUCUCCCAUUGGCACCCCAACAUCACCAUCAACAUCGUGGACGACCACACGCCAUGGGUGAAGGGCAGUGUGCCCCCUCCCCUGGAUCAAUGUAAGCUCCCCAGCCCUGCCAGCUGCUUGCAGAGGCCUCUGGGAGGGUGCUCGGGGCCCAUCUCCUUGUCUUCUGGCCCCGUCCCCCUGAGAGAGCUUUCCAGGGCUCCACCCUCCCAAGCUCCCCACCCUGUCCUAUCCCCUUCUCAUGUCCUCUCCCUCUCCCACACCACCACCCCUGGGGACCCCAGGACUGACUUCCACACGCCAGCAUCGGUCUAUAGUCAAGUCCCAUCCAGCCCACAAACUGUUUUCAAAAAAUGUCUAUCACUUGCCAACUUUUGAAAUUGAGGCAGUAUCACUUAAAAGCCACAAUUUCUGGCUUAUUUUAUAAAACUGGGUUACAUGGUCACCCACGAG